UGGGGAAUCUUCCGCAAUGGACGAAAGUCUGACGGAGCAACGCCGCGUGAGUGAAGACGGCCUUCGGGUUGUAAAGCUCUGUGAUUCGGGACGAAAGGCCAUAUGUGAAUAAUAUAUGGAAAUGACGGUACCGAAAAAGCAAGCCACGGCUAACUACGUGCCAGCAGCCGCGGUAAUACGUAGGUGGCAAGCGUUGUCCGGAAUUAUUGGGCGUAAAGCGCGCGCAGGCGGUCACUUAAGUCCAUCUUAGAAGUGCGGGGCUUAACCCCGUGAUGGGAUGGAAACUGGGAGACUGGAGUAUCGGAGAGGAAAGUGGAAUUCCUAGUGUAGCGGUGAAAUGCGUAGAUAUUAGGAGGAACACCGGUGGCGAAAGCGGCUUUUUGGCCUGCAACUGACACUGAGGCGCGAAAGCGUGGGGAGCAAACAGG
rnacentral:rRNA from 1 species